rnacentral:rRNA from 1 species
GAUGAACGCUAGCUACAGGCUUAACACAUGCAAGUCGAGGGGAAACGACAUUGAAGCUUGCUUCGAUGGUCGUCGACCGGCGCACGGGUGAGUAACGCGUAUCCAACCUGCCUCUGACCAAGGGAUAACCCGUCGAAAGUCGGCCUAAUACCUUAUGCAGUCGUCGGAAGUCAUCUGAUGACGACGAAAGAUUUCAUCGGUGAGAGAUGGGGAUGCGUCUGAUUAGCUUGUUGGCGGGGUAACGGCCCACCAAGGCAACGAUCAGUAGGGGUUCUGAGAGGAAGGUCCCCCACAUUGGAACUGAGACACGGUCCAAACUCCUACAGGAGGCAGCAGUGAGGAAUAUUGGUCAAUGGGCGAGAGCCUGAACCAGCCAAGUAGCGUGCAGGAUGACGGCCCUAUGGGUUGUAAACUGCUUUUAUGCGGGGAUAAAGUGAGGGACGUGUCCUUCAUUGCAGGUACCGCAUGAAUAAGGACCGGCUAAUUCCGUG